rnacentral:rRNA from 1 species
ACACGACUACAUUAGAUACCCGCGUAGUCCUAGCCGUAAACGAUACUCGCUAGGUGUCGGCCACGGUGCGACCGUUGUCGGUGCCGUAGGGAAGCCGUGAAGCGAGCCACCUGGGAAGUACGGCCGCAAGGCUGAAACUUAAAGGAAUUGGCGGGGGAGGCACCACAACGGGUGGAGCUUGCGGUUUAAUUGGAUUCAACGCCGGAAAUCUUACCGGGACCGACAGCAACAUGAAGGCCAGGCUGAAGACUUUGCCGGAUUAGCUG